CACACUGGGACUGAGACACGGCCCAGACUCCUACGGGAGGCAGCAGUGGGGAAUUUUCCGCAAUGGGCGAAAGCCUGACGGAGCAAUGCCGCGUGGAGGUGGAAGGCCUACGGGUCGUCAACUUCUUUUCUCGGAGAAGAAACAAUAACGGUAUCUGAGGAAUAAGCAUCGGCUAACCUGUGCCAGCACCGCGGAAGACGGAUGCAA
rnacentral:ncRNA from 1 species